rnacentral:rRNA from 2 species
ACGCACUGGCCCAACUGAUUGAUGGUGCUUGCACCUGAUUGACGAUGGAUCACCAGUGAGUGGCGGACGGGUGAGUAACACGUAGGUAACCUGCCCCGGAGCGGGGGAUAACAUUUGGAAACAGAUGCUAAUACCGCAUAACAACAAAAGCCACAUGGCUUUUGUUUGAAAGAUGGCUUUGGCUAUCACUCUGGGAUGGACCUGCGGUGCAUUAGCUAGUUGGUAAGGUAACGGCUUACCAAGGCGAUGAUGCAUAGCCGAGUUGAGAGACUGAUCGGCCACAAUGGAACUGAGACACGGUCCAUACUCCUACGGGAGGCAGCAGUAGGGAAUCUUCCACAAUGGGCGCAAGCCUGAUGGAGCAACACCGCGUGAGUGAAGAAGGGUUUCGGCUCGUAAAGCUCUGUUGUUGGAGAAGAACGUGCGUGAGAGUAACUGUUCACGCAGUGACGGUAUCCAACCAGAAAGUCACGGCUAACUACGUGCCAGCAGCCGCGGUAAUACGUAGGUGGCAAGCGUUAUCCGGAUUUAUUGGGCGUAAAGCGAGCGCAGGCGGUUGCUUAGGUCUGAUGUGAAAGCCUUCGGCUUAACCGAAGAAGUGCAUCGGAAACCGGGCGACUUGAGUGCAGAAGAGGACAGUGGAACUCCAUGUGUAGCGGUGGAAUGCGUAGAUAUAUGGAAGAACACCAGUGGCGAAGGCGGCUGUCUGGUCUGCAACUGACGCUGAGGCUCGAAAGCAUGGGUAGCGAACAGGAUUAGAUACCCUGGUAGUCCAUGCCGUAAACGAUGAGUGCUAGGUGUUGGAGGGUUUCCGCCCUUCAGUGCCGGAGCUAACGCAUUAAGCACUCCGCCUGGGGAGUACGACCGCAAGGUUGAAACUCAAAGGAAUUGACGGGGGCCCGCACAAGCGGUGGAGCAUGUGGUUUAAUUCGAAGCUACGCGAAGAACCUUACCAGGUCUUGACAUCUUGCGCUAACCUUAGAGAUAAGGCGUUCCCUUCGGGGACGCAAUGACAGGUGGUGCAUGGUCGUCGUCAGCUCGUGUCGUGAGAUGUUGGGUUAAGUCCCGCAACGAGCGCAACCCUUGUUACUAGUUGCCAGCAUUAAGUUGGGCACUCUAGUGAGACUGCCGGUGACAAACCGGAGGAAGGUGGGGACGACGUCAGAUCAUCAUGCCCCUUAUGACCUGGGCUACACACGUGCUACAAUGGACGGUACAACGAGUCGCAAGCUCGCGAGAGUAAGCUAAUCUCUUAAAGCCGUUCUCAGUUCGGACUGUAGGCUGCAACUCGCCUACACGAAGUCGGAAUCGCUAGUAAUCGCGGAUCAGCAUGCCGCGGUGAAUACGUUCCCGGGCCUUGUACACACCGCCCGUCACACCAUGGGAGUUUGUAACGCCCAAAGUCGGUGGC